rnacentral:rRNA from 1 species
AUUGAACGCUGGCGGCGUGCUUAACACAUGCAAGUCGUGCGGUAACAGGCGUAGCAAUACGUGCUGACGAGCGGCGAACGGGUGCGUAAUACAUGGGAAUCUGCCCUUUAGUGGGGAAUAACCCGGCGAAAGCCGGGCUAAUGCCGCAUAAGAUCUUCGGAUGAAAGCGGGGGAUCGUAAGACCUCGCGCUGAUGGAGUGAGCCCAUGUCGGAUUAGCUAGNGGUGAGGUAACGGCUCACCAAGGCGACGAUCCGUAGCUGGUCUGAGAGGACGGCCAGCCACACUGGGACUGAGACACGGCCCAGACUCCUACGGGAGGCAGCAGUGGGGAAUAUUGGACAAU